rnacentral:rRNA from 1 species
UCCUACGGGAGGCAGCAGUAGGGAAUUUUGCGCAAUGGGGGAAACCCUGACGCAGCAACGCCGCGUGAACGAUGACGCUUUUCGGAGUGUAAAGUUCUGUCAGUGGGGACGAAAUUUGACGGUACCCACAGAGGAAGCACCGGCUAACUCCGUGCCAGCAGCCGCGGUAAUACGGGGGGUGCAAGCGUUGUCCGGAAUCAUUGGGCGUAAAGAGUUCGUAGGUGGUAUGUUAAGUCUGGUGUUAAAGCCCGAAGCUCAACUUCGGUUCGGCACUGGAUACUGGCAAACUUGAAUGCGGUAGAGGUAAAGGGAAUUCCUGGUGUAGCGGUGAAAUGCGUAGAUAUCAGGAGGAACAUCGGUGGCGUAAGCGCUUUACUGGGCCGUAAUUGACACUGAGGAACGAAAGCCAGGGUAGCAAAUGGGAUUAGAUACCCCAGUAGUCCUGGCCGUAAACGAUGGAUACUAGGUGUUGCGGGUAUCGACCCCUGCAGUGCCGUAGCUAACGCGAUAAGUAUCCCGCCUGGGGAGUACGCACGCAAGUGUGAAACUCAAAUGAAUUGACGG